UGUAACUUCUCCCCCAAGGACCCCUGUGCCUCUUUCUCCUCCAAAAUCCCUCUUCUCAUCCUCCUAAUACCUUCCCUUCUUGGUCUCCUAUUUCUCUUCCCCUCUGGUUCUCUCAGGCCCCCUUGGCCAGCUCUCCAUUGCCCCUCCCUUUCAGAAGCCCAAGUAAUUCCCACUCGCCUGGCCUUGGCCUCCUUCCCUGGUGUGGGUCUGCAAGCCCCAUCUCUCACCUGGGCCACCUUACAGACAAGAUUUGAGAGAUACCUUGGUUUUGCAGUUUUCACCUGUAGGACCUAACAGUGGCAUCUUUCUCCCUUCACAGUGUCUUACUGUCUGUCCCCUUCUAACCAGCCACUGCCAGGACCUCACCUUCAGUUCUUCCCCAGCCCAGCCUGCUUCCUUCUGACUGCAGGGGCUGAGUUAAUGCCAGCACUCACUAUGUGUUGUCACUGGGCUAAGGGCUAUGUAUGUUUUCCCACUAGUUACCAAGACAUUCUCAAAAAGUAGGAAUUGAAACUAGCCCAUUUUGCAGAUGCAGAAGCUGAGGCUGGGCUGAGAGCCCAGGGGUGGAACAGGUCAGAGCAAGGAACUGGUACUCUCAACCACAGGCUCUGCUGCACAGGUGGAUAUCCAGGGUGGAACUGACUGAGUGAGGAAUGACAGCGACUUUGGCAGAGAGGACUCUGCCCAGUUGAAAGGUAGGAAUGAUUCCAGGACCUCACAGAGUACACAAGCAUCAACUUACAGAGCAGCCCUGUGCCUAUGGCCUGAGUGAAACUCCUGCCCAAAGCCACUGGCAGUGAUAUAAGCGACUCCAUACUAGUAGGUGAUUUCCUGUGGGGAGGCAUCCUCAGGAAUAACAGCUUUUUCUAAGCUCUAUGCUUUGUGUAUUUUCUUGUCUUACGCCCUCACAAUUCCAUUCUCAUUUCAUAGGUGAAAAACUGGUCCCAAGAGGGGUCACCCAGCUGCUAUACAGAGGGUGUUGAGACCAGAACUGGUCUCUUCACUCCUCCUUCUCUGGCUUGCAUGCUCAUUUCACUCUCUUCCUAUGUCCGACCUACCUGUGUGCUACUACCAGGACUGCUGGAAUGUCGCAAGAGUUCCACUUCCAGCUCUCUUACUGAAGGUCAUCUGACAUGUGUGAACUAGAAAUUAUAUGGACUGUCGGUGUUCUAUUCAUUUCUGUAUCUUGCCCAGACCUACCACUCAGCCUGCCCUAGAGAGAAUGCAUGCUGAGUGAGGAGCAGAGAAAAAGAUUUAUAGUACCACAAGAAUUAUUUCAUGUUGCCAUUGCCUUCAACACCAUCUGAUACAAAAGGAAUUGACCACUGGGGAUUUAGCUCAGUGGUUCUGCUGCUUGCCUCACAAGCAUAAGGUCCUUUGAUCCCCGGUACCAAAAAAAAAAAAAGAAUCGACCUUCGGAAGAAUCUGCUAGAAGAAUAAUCUAGAGAUCAUUAUUUUUAAGUAGAAAAAGGUACUGAGAAACGAGAAAACCAAUAUGCAGUUACACACCACAUAAUGGAUCAGUGACAGACCACCUGCUCUAGGAUGUAUGCCAUUACAGCCUAGGUGUGUUAGUAAGCUGCACCAUCUUAGUUUGUAUAAAUACUCUGUGUGUUUCCACAAUGAUGAC
ensembl:lncRNA